AUCCAGCUGACGAGUCCCAAAGAAAACGAAUCGCGAGUUCUGGAU
rnacentral:hammerhead_ribozyme from 1 species